rnacentral:rRNA from 1 species
UGUUUCGGCUAGGGGGCCAUCCCGGCUUACCAACCCGAUGCAAACUGCGAAUACCGGAGAAUGUUAUCACGGGAGACACACGGCGGGUGCUAACGUCCGUCGUGAAGAGGGAAACAACCCAGACCGCCAGCUAAGGUCCCAAAGUCAUGGUUAAGUGGGAAACGAUGUGGGAAGGCCCAGACAGCCAGGAUGUUGGCUUAGAAGCAGCCAUCAUUUAAAGAAAGCGUAAUAGCUCACUGGUCGAGUCGGCCUGCGCGGAAGAUGUAACGGGGCUAAACCAUGCACCGAAGCUGCGGCAGCGACACUCAGGUGUUGUUGGGUAGGGGAGCGUUCUGUAAGCCUGCGAAGGUGGCCUGUGA